rnacentral:rRNA from 1 species
UCGAGAAUCUUCCACAAUGGACGAAAGUCUGAUGGAGCGAUGUCGCGUGAUGGAUGAAGUGCUUCGGUACGUAAACAUCUUUUAUGAGGGAAAAAGUUUUGAUUGUACCUCAUGAAUAAGGGGCUCCUAACUCUGUGCCAGCAGGAGCGGUAAUACAGAGGCCCCAAGCAUUAUCCGGAUUUACUGGGCGUAAAGGGUGCGUAGAUGGUCGUGUUAGUCGUAUGUUAAAUCCCGGAGCUUAACUCCGGACUCGCAAACGAAACGGCACGACUCGAGGGUACGAGAGGUAUGUGGAACUCAUGGUGUAGGGGUAAUAUCCGUUGAUAUCAUGGGGAACACCGAAAGCGAAGGCAGCAUACUGGCGUAUUCCUGACAUUGAUGCACGAAAGCUAGGGUAGCGAACGGGAUUAGAUACCCGUGUAGUCC